CCCCAGACUCCUACGGGAGGCAGCAGUGGGGGAUAUUGCACAAUGGGGGGAACCCUGAUGCAGCGACGCCGCGUGAGUGAAGAAGUAUCUCGGUAUGUAAAGCUCUAUCAGCAGGGAAGAAGCAAGACGGUACCUGACUAAGAAGCCCCGGCUAACUACGUGCCAGCAGCCGCGGUAAUACGUAGGGGGCGAGCGUUAUCCGGAUUUACUGGGUGUAAAGGGAGCGUAGACGGCAUGGCAAGUCUGGAGUGAAAGCCCGGGGCCCAACCCCGGGACUGCUCUGGAAACUGCCAUGCUAGAGUGCUGGAGAGGUAAGUGGAAUUCCUAGUGUAGCGGUGAAAUGCGUAGAUAUUAGGAGGAACACCAGUGGCGAAGGCGGCUUACUGGACAGUGACUGACGUUGAGGCUCGAAAGCGUGGGGAGCAAACAGGAUUAGAUACCCGGGUACUC
rnacentral:rRNA from 1 species